UACAGAGGGUGCGAGCGUUAAUCGGAAUUACUGGGCGUAAAGCGCGCGUAGGUGGUUAUACAAGUUGGGUGUGAAAUCCCUGGGCUUAACCUAGGAAUUGCAUUCAAAACUAUAUGACUUGAGUGAAGUAGAGGUAAGUGGAAUUUCCGGAGUAGCGGUGAAAUGCGUAGAUACCGGAAGGAACACCAGUGGCGAAGGCGACUUACUGGGCUUUAACUGACACUGAGGUGCGAAAGCGUGGGGAGCAAACAGG
rnacentral:rRNA from 1 species